CUAAACCCAAAAACUCGCCUGAGAAACAGAAAAACCCCAAAACCGCCCAAGUGCCGAAUCCCGACCGCCCUCGCAGUUAUGGAUUCCUCCCCCUCUGCCUCCCCCGCGGCGGCGGCGGCGGCGGCGGCGGCUGCGCCUGCUGCUGGUGCUGCGGCCGCCACGGACCGGUACACGUUCAGGCCGGGGCUGCGGUGGCAGCCCGAAGUCGAGGAGUACUUCGCCUCGGCGUACGGCCGCGACCACUUCGCCCGCAUCUCCGAAGCCCUCGCGCAUCCUUCUUGCUACUCUUGCAUCCGUGUGAAUACUCUAAAGUCUACCACUGAUACUGUCAUGCAAAAGCUGCUGAAAUUGGUAAAUCAGAAUGAACUUUCUUGUGGAUUUAAUGGUUUGAAGAUCGGUGAGCAGAAUGGUGGAGAGCAAGCACAUGAAGGGAGUUACCUGGUGCACAAGUGCCCGUAUUCAGGCCUUGAAAAUGUUUUAUUUGUUCGAGGUUCAGGACCACAUGCUCUGCAUUACGAUGGCCAACCUGGUCACUCUAUGAAGGAGAUAAUUAUAAGUCGAAAAUGUGCAGAGUCGGUUCUUCGAGGAGCCCAGGUGUAUGUCCCUGGUGUUUUAGCUUGCAGUGCACAUGUUGAAAAGGGUGAUAUGGUUGCAGUGUCAGUUGCUAUUGAACAACCGGUCAAGGAUAGUGGUUGGGCUGUUGGUAUAACACGCGGAAUCGUUCUACAGGGGUUGCAGUCAGAUGCACAUUAUGAAGAGAGAAAGGGUUUGUACAUUGGUCAAGGGAUUGCUGCAAUGUCAAGGGCAGGAAUAUUUCGUGUUCUUCAUGGAGUUGCAGUAGAGAUGACUGAGAGGGUAUACAAACUACCAUCUUUUAAUGACGUGCUUGAAGGGGAGAUAUUUCUUCAAAAUUUGCCAAGUAUUGUGGCUGCUCGUGUCCUUGAUCCCCAGCCAGGAGAGCAAAUAUUGGACAUGUGUGCUGCUCCAGGAGGGAAAACAACAGCAAUUGCUAUCCUUAUGAGGGACAAAGGGGAGAUUGUUGCCCUCGAUAGAUCUCACAAUAAGGUGAUGGGUAUUUUGAAGUUGGCUGAUGAGAUGGGCCUAAGUUGUAUAAGAGCUUAUAAACUUGAUGCUCUCAAAUCUGUACGGAAGGCUUAUGAGGAAAGAAAUCUUGGCGUGGCUGAUAAUUGCUCUGAAGCAAUUGUGACGUUAGCGGAGAACUCUGGCCCUAUUCGUAGUAUAAUCGCUGCCAGGGUUACGAAUGCAGCUGAAGACAGCUCAACUGCAAUAGUUGAGCAGACUGAUGCCAAAAGGUAUGUUAGCAAGGCAGACCUCAGGAAGAAUUUAAGGCGAAUGAGGAACGGGACAGGAAGAAGUAACUGCUCUGGAGGUAGAGUUGAAGACUCAAAAGGAUUCUUUCCAAGCAGCUUUGAUCGUGUCCUCCUUGAUGCUCCAUGUUCUGCACUUGGCUUGAGACCUCGUCUCUUUGCUGCUGAGGAGGACUGCAUUUACCUCGGGCCAGCGCACUAGGAGGCCGGGUCUGGCAUGGCGGUGUUCCUUGGGACAAAGUGACAGAGAUGGAGGGAGGGUGGAGAAUGCCAGGUCCGCGUGGCAGUUUUUGUGGACGCCAGAGCUCUGGCCCAAUAGCAUGCGCUGCGUGGAGGGGCAGAGCCCAGUAAGAGGAGGAGCUGCACGGCGAGGGGGGAGGCUGGGGAGGUUGGAGGCGAGUGUUGCGCAGCGGAGGCCCGCUGGUGAGCUCCCGACGCAGGAGGGAGAGCCAUGUGCAAGGGAAGUUUCCUCCCACUCUCCGUCGUUAGGUUUUGGGGCCUGAGGGUAUGCCUGUGGGAGUUGGGGCUGGGUGGGAGGGGUGUUAUGGGGGCCCCGCAUUUUCCUGGCUCUAAUAGGGGGCCUGCUGGAGAUUCUCUAAUAUCUAGAUGGCUAAUUCUAGUACAACUUGCUAACUUAUUUGCUGUUUCAUAAAUUGCAUUAUUACAGGAAACUCUGGAAUCACUGAGAAAGAAUGCGACGUAUCAAAGAAGAUUGUUUGAUCAAGCUGUUAAGCUAGUUCGCCCUGGUGGGUUAAUUGUUUAUUCCACGUGUACCAUAAAUCCAGGAGAAAAUGAGUCUUUGGUCAGAUAUGCCUUGGAUACAUACAAAUUCCUGUCACUAGGAUCACAGCACCCAAAAGUUGGAGGACCUGGUAUUAUUGGCUCAUGUAAGCUGCCCAACAAGGCAUAUACUGA